rnacentral:rRNA from 1 species
CCGGUUGAUCCUGCCAGAUCUGACUGCUAUCCGGGUAAGACUAAGCCAUGCGAGUUGAAUGGAAGGUCCUACUUUCCAUAGCGCACUGCUCAGUAACAAGUGAUCAACUUACCCUAUAGUAGGGGAUAACCUCGGGAAACUGAGGAUAAUACCCUAUAGUUGGAAUAGCCUGGAAUGGUUUUCCAUCUAAAGACAUCUCAAAUUGGAGAGAUGUUCGCUGUAGGAUAGGAUCGCUCCUGAUUAUGGUUGUUGGUGAGGUAAUGGCUCACCAAGCCUAUGAUCAGUGAGGGCCGUGAGAGCGGGAGCCCUGAGAUGGGUACUGAGACAAGGACCCAGGCCUUACGAGGCGCAGCAGGCGCGGAACCUUUACAAUGCGCGAAAGCGUGAUAAGGUUACCCGGAGUGCUAGGAGCAUAACUUCUAGCUGUUGUAGGGUGUAGAUAUCCCUAAGAGAAAGGAGAGGGCAAGGCUGGUGCCAGCAGCCGCGGUAACACCAGCUCUUCAAGUGGUCAGGACGAUUAUUGGGCUUAAAGUGUCCGUAGCCGGUUUAGUAAGUUCCUGGUUAAAUCUGGCAGCUUAACUGUCAGCUUGCUAGGAAUACUGCUUUACUAGGGGGCGGGAAAGGUCCGAGGUACUCCAGGGGUAGCGGUGAAAUGCGAUAAUCCUUGGGGGACCACCAGUGGCGAAGGCGUCGGACUGGAACGCGCCCGACGGUGAGGGACGAAAGCUAGGGGAGCGAACGGGAUUAGAUACCCCGGUAGUCCUAGCUGUAAACGAUGCGUGUUAGGUGUUGGUAGGGCUAUGAGCUGUAUCAGUGCCGUAGGGAAACUGUUAAACACGCCGCCUGGGAACUACGCUCGCAAGAGUGAAACUUAAAGGAAUUGGCGGGGGAGCACCACAAGGGGUGAAGCCUGCGGUUCAAUUGGAUUCAACGCCGGA